GCUAGUAAGGUCCCCGGAAGACUACCGGGUUGAUAGGCUGCAUGUGUAAGCAUGGUGACAUGUGUGCUAGGCAGUACUAAUAGACCGAGGGCUUGACCUAUUUUUU
rnacentral:rRNA from 1 species